rnacentral:rRNA from 1 species
UACGUAGGGGGCAAGCGUUGUCCGGAAUUAUUGGGCGUAAAGAGCGUGUAGGCGGCCAGAUAAGUCCGCUGUGAAAUCUCGAGGCUCAACUUCGAGCUGUCGGUGGAAACUAUCUGGCUAGAGUCCGGAAGAGGAGACUGGAAUUUACGGUGUAGCGGUGAAAUGCGUAGAUAUCGUAAGGAAGACCAGUGGCGAAGGCGGGUCUCUGGACAGUUCCUGACGCUGAGGCACGAAGGUCAGGGGAGCAAACGGG